rnacentral:rRNA from 1 species
GACGAACCGUGCGAACGUUAUUCGGAAUCACUGGGCUUAAAGCGCGUGUAGGCGGCCCGGCACGUCAUCGGCUGAAAUCCCCCGGCUCAACCGGGGAAGGGGCCGUGAUACGGCCGGGCUGGAGGGGGGUAGGGGGGACGGGAACUUCCGGUGGAGCGGUGAAAUGCGUUGAGAUCGGAAGGAACGCCCGCGGCGAAAGCGCGUCCCUGGACCCCGCCUGACGCUGAGACGCGAAAGCCAGGGGAGCGAACGGG